AUUGAACGCUGGCGGCAUGCUUUAUACAUGCAAGUCGUGCGGCAGCGCGGGGGCAACCCAGGCGGCGAGCGGCGAACGGGUGAGUAAUACAUAGGAACGUAUCCUGAAAUGGGGGAUAGCUCGGCGAAAGCCGGAUUAAUACCGCAUACGCUCCACGGAGGAAAGCAGGGGAUCGCAAGACCUUGCGUUUCUGGAGCGGCCUAUGUCUGAUUAGCUAGUUGGCGGGGUAAUAGCCCACCAAGGCGACGAUCAGUAGCUGGUCUGAGAGGAUGAUCAGCCACACUGGGACUGAGACACGGCCCAGACUCCUACGGGAGGCAGCAGUAGGGAAUUUUGGACAAUGGGCGCAAGCCUGAUCCAGCCAUGCCGCGUGAGUGAAGAAGG
rnacentral:rRNA from 1 species